UAGUAGCAGCCCUACUACUGACAGGCGCUAACAGUAAACAAGGGGUGCUUGUCCAGCUCAGUUGUUAUUGUGGUUUCUAUUUUGCUAUUUCGAUAUUAUCAUCACUUAAUUAUUUUUAUGUUCUAUAUAAUAAUUAGCACUUUCUAGAAUCUUGAUUGGUGUUAUAAAUGGUACAUUUAGUAACCUCAAUAUCUUAAACUAUUUUGUUAACCCUGUUUUUGGAUAGUUUAGCUUUAUAAUCUUUUUAAAAAAAAUGUCUGACUCUAACCCUAAGUUUAAGGCAGAGCUAGUGAAGUUUCUGGCCGAACAGGUGGCCAAAGAUAAACCUAAGAAGAGUUCCAUAAGGCGAUCUGCAAUUAUGAGUUUGCAGAUGAAGCCAUCUCAUCGGGCCACAUCUGAUAAAUCUCCAGCCGCACUAGUAGUGGGUACCCAAUUCACUGUCUGGGCUGAGGUUGACGGAGUGUGUGCCCUAUGAGUGCCUUAUGGACACUAGGCCGAUCCCAAGUGACAUGCAUAUCUGCUUAUUGUUAUCACAAAAAGUUAGCGCAUCGUCACUUGGAAUCCAUGACGACCUGUUCGUGUUUGGUGCAGGUGGAAUCAGAAGUUCCAUACAUUGGGUACAUCGAGGCCCAUCUGCACUUUCACACUGACAAUUAGGGUUGCGUUCAGUCAGAGAUGACAACGCUGGCACUGGUUAUUUUUAUUUUACAAGUUUUAUUGACAAGUGAGCACCAAACCAAUAUCCUUCAUUGCCACCACCUUUCGGGUGAAGCUCAUUCUACCCAAGAAUGAAGCAUAGUGGAAGGAGGAAUCCUUCGGCAGUUCUCUGGAAAGGGAAUGUCGUCUGAUAGUUGGAUGCGGUGUUUGACCGAAGAGGUGUACCUAAUGUUGAGGUCAUCUACAGAGAAUUACAUCUUGCCAUCUAGGUAGGAAAGUAUGAGAUUGGUUAAUCUCUCUCUGUCCUCUAAAAGUCUGCUGAAAUGUAUUAUUGUAUUAACUUGUAAUUAAAGAUGUCGGGACGCCAUGAUUCUAGGAGGGGAGAGUGUCAGACCCUGUUUAUUAAGGUAUAUUCUAUUUUUUUUAGUAAACCUAUUUUCUAUUUUUGAGUGAGCUUAUAUUACUUUAAAUUGUUGAACCCCUAUUUAAAGUGUACCUUUAAACUAUGUUUCUAUUAAGAUCACCUCUCUGGUAUAUGCUACAGGUGAAACAAAGAGAUGGGAACAAAAAGACCCCUAUUCUAUAGGCCUUGUUUAUGUCUUAAACCCAGACCACUUCCUUUAUUCGUAGAGUACAUAAAUCAUGAAUGACCAGUGGAUACACUUACUGGUACCCCUUUGUCUUGGGGAUGGGGAAUAGUGGGGUUGUUUGCCUGGUUUGGAAGAAAGAUUGGCUUUCUCGUUGAGAGCAAGUUUAGACUUCAAGGCAGAUAGACGUGUGAUGUAACUUCCCCCAGAAGUUACUAUGUCGCAGCUUUUUAAGACCUGCCUUGAUUUUGUUUCUUAACAGUUUCACCAUGGUUCCACCAUGGUUCCAGUUCCAUUUCCCUCGGGACAAGAGUUGGGACUGCUGUCGUUGUUCAGGCAACGCUCUCCGCCUGAUCGAUGUAUUUAGUGCUUACUGACGAACGACUUGUGUUUUAUCAUUUGUACUUAAUAUGAACAUCUAUACUUUUCUUCUAUUUCCCUAAUAUGUUUCUACUGUACAGUGUAGUUUAGUUUGUUCCUUUCCUAUCAGUUAUUUUACCUGUAUAUGUUAAGAGUUAUCACUGUAAGUUUGUGAAGCCUUGCAUGUCGGCUAAAGAUUCCGCUGAUAUAUAUAACUAUUAUAUGUUUACCAAUACAUGUUUUUAUGUAUUAUACUUAUUAUUUGGAUGAGUGAUAUUUUGUAGCUUAGCCUACCUUUGAGGUUAAGUGUUAAUAAAUCCUUUCUUUUGGAUCUUUCACUCAAA